UUUCCAUCAUUAGUGUAUUUAAUAGACUAAAUUACACAUUCUGUUAACAUCGGACUCCAGAGUGAUCCGUUCCUGCAAUUUUAGUCGAUGACAUUUCAGAUUUGGAUAUGAUAAUUUAUCAUGAAGUAAUUUGGAUGUACUGAUGUACCCAAGUGGCUUUAGUUAGGUAAACUCUAUUUUUUAUUAAAAAGGGUAGAAUUAAUGUGGCUUUACUUCUUCCAGUGUGAAGCAAUUAGUAGCUUGGUCAACUUAAUUUUUUAAGUUAAAAGCAGAUUCCCCAACGAUUCGCCAAACUCAGUCCUGGGUACCUCAAAGGGUGCACAUUUUGUUGUUUGUCCCUAGGGCUACACAGCUGAUUCAAAUAAUCAACUCGUCAAGCUUUGAUCAUUUGAAUCAGCUGUAUAGUGCUAGGGCAACCUGUCCUUACACACCUAAUUCCACUAAUCAAAAGGGCUUGAUGAGUAGAUUUAGUGUGUUAAUGCAUUAACUGAAACCUUCUCUCCAGGAUAUCACACGUUUCCCAUCUGAAAUUACUUCCUAUAGAAGAAGGAUAAAAAAAAGUAUUAUUAAAUGUAUUAGUUACAUUAUUACAUGUAUUAGUUACAUUAUUACAUGUAUUAGUUACAUUAAAUGUAUCAGUUACAUGAAUUUUCAUGUCAUCUGACCAUAGCAUCAGUUCCAAUCCAAGUGCCAAAGGUCACGCCAUAGUUAGCAUCUACGUAACACACAUGUGAUUCAGAGUCGCUUGAUGCUAUAUAUAUAUAUAUAUAUAUAUAUAUAUAUAUUACACACACACAAUGAGAAAUGGCUUUUUAGAGUUUAUCGAGUUCACUUCAUAAUGUUUCUAACUAGAUUCCAUCAGAAAUGAAGAUGGUUUAAACAAGCGUGACUGUUGCAACUUUUCUCCUUUUUUCUACAGCAAAUGACAUCUGCAGUAAGAGCAUUAGGGACUGUAGGGGUUAGAGUGUAGAGGGGGCAGGUAGCCUAGUGGUUAGAGUGUAGGGGCGGCAGGUAGCCUAGUGGUUAGAGUGUAGGGGCGGCAGGUAGCCUAGUGGUUAGAGUGUAGGGGGGGCAGGUAGUCUAGUGGUUAGAGUGUAGAGGGGGCAGGUAGCCUAGUGGUUAGAGUGUAGGGGCGGCAGGUAGCCUAGUGGUUAGAGUGUAGGGGGGCAGGUAGCCUAGUGGUUAGAGUGUAGGGGCGGCAGGUAGUCUAGUGGUUAGAGUGUAGAGGCGGCAGGUAGCCUAGUGGUUAGAGUGUAGGGGCGGCAGGUAGCCUAGUGGUUAGAGUGUAGAGGUGGCAGGUAGACUAGUGGUUAGAGUGUAGAGGUGGCAGGUAGACUAGUGGUUAGAGUGUAGGGACGGCAGGUUCCUGUCGGCACAACAUACAACGAAUCCAUUUCAGUGGUUAGCAAGUUGGGCAAGUAACCGAAAGGUUGCUAGAUCGAAUUCCGAGCUGACAAUGUCAAAAUCUGUCUUUCUCCCCCUGAACAAGGCAGUUAACCCACUGUUCCCCGGUAGGACGACAUUGUAAAUAAGAAUUUUUUCUUAGCUGACUUGCCUAGCUUUAGUUAAUGAUUGGAUAUAACGUUAAAAGGUUUCAUGUGUAAAACUGAUUUGUUUACAGAUUUAAUUCAUGUAAAUUAGGUUUGAGAAUUGUAUCUCCACCAAAAAUCAACAAAAGCAUUGAUGUCGUGUUGAUAGUGUUGCUAUGUGAACAAGAUGGCGCCGACAGAGGGCUGCCUCGCU
ensembl:lncRNA